GAUGAACGCUGGCGGAGUGCCUAACACAUGCAAGUCGAGCGGCAGCGCGAGUAGUUUACUACUUGGCGGCGAGCGGCGGACGGCUGAGUAACGCGUGGAACAUGCCCCAAAGUGAGGAAUAACUGCCCGAAAGGGUAGCUAAUGCCGCAUACGAUCUUCGGAUUAAAGGAUUUAUCCGCUUUGGGAGUGGCCUGCGUACGAUUAGAUAGUUGGUGAGGUAAUGGCUCACCAAGUCUACGAUCGUUAACUGGUUUGAGAGGAUGAUCAGUCAGACUGGAACUGAGACACGGUCCAGACUCCUACGGGAGGCAGCAGUGAGGAAUCUUCCACAAUGGACGAAAGUCUGAUGGAGCAACUCCGCGUGCAGGAUGAAGGCCUUCGGUCGUAAACUGCUUUAUGAGUG
rnacentral:rRNA from 1 species